UGGGGAAUAUUGCACAAUGGGGGAAACCCUGAUGCAGCGACGCGGCGUGAACGAAGAAGGUAUUCGUAUCGUAAAGUUCUGUCCUAUGGGAAGAUAAUGACAGUACCAUAGAAGAAAGCUCCGGCUAAAUACGUGCCAGCAGCCGCGGUAAUACGUAUGGAGCGAGCGUUGUCCGGAAUUAUUGGGCGUAAAGGGUACGCAGGCGGUUUAAUAAGUCGAAUGUUAAAGAUCGGGGCUCAACCCCGUAAAGCAUUGGAAACUGAUAAACUUGAGUAGUGGAGAGGAAAGUGGAAUUCCUAGUGUAGUGGUGAAAUACGUAGAUAUUAGGAGGAAUACCAGUAGCGAAGGCGACUUUCUGGACACAAACUGACGCUGAGGUACGAAAGCGUGGGGAGCAAACAGG
rnacentral:rRNA from 1 species